AUGGUAUAAUGAGGAUAUUUGUUAAGAAGUUCUUUAAAUAAUCCCCAUAAUUCAUAAAUAGAUUAGCCAUCUAUUUGGAUAAAAUAUGUGAUAUCAUUUCAAAACUU